UGCAAGAACAAGUUUAGUUCAUUUCAGUUUUUGUUUAUCAAUAUAAUUCUAAUCCCUUUUAUGCUUUCCAUGUAAAUCCCUAAUUUACCCUUAGUUUGUUUCACUCAAUCCACCUCAUUCCAUAAAAUUUGCAACAGUUCGUGCAGUUACAACAACUCCACAAUUUUCCGAGUUCAAUCCCCUCUCCCUAAAGCUUCUCAAUUCCCACUCCACAAAGACUCUAACUGAGUCAGUCCCUCACCUCCACGAAUUCCACGAUUUUCUCAUGUCAAACCUCAAUCCCUAAAUUUCCUUAAAAUUGAUUUAAUCCAUUAACCCAAUUCCAUAUUUUGCUCAGUCGAUUGUCACACCCUAAAAUCUCUCUAACAAACACACACCACCAGUCCAAUAUCUACCUAUAAAACCUUUCAACCUAUACGCUCAUAACGGGGCCUAAUUCUGACGCAAAAAAAGAGAAAAAUACACUUAAACAUAAAAGAUUUUUUCGUAAUACAAGAACCACAAAAAUUUAGCACACAACAACAGGUAGAGAAAGAAGAAGAAGAUGAGGAUUCAGAGUAUAAAGCAUCGAAAAGGACGAGAAGACUUGUCGGAGAACUCAGAGGCUCUGAUGAGUUUUACUGGUUUCAAAUGUAAGCAAGAAUACCAGAGGAAUCAUCAAGGGAAUCAGACGUUCCGGGCCUAUCGGAAGAGGAAAUUGGACAAUACAGUAGCCCUGACACGACCACCCGUGUUGCCCAACACGACCCGUGUCAGGAGAAGAGAGCCAAAGCCAUAAAUGGGGAGCUGACACGGGUGCCCGUGUCAGCCACCCUGGAAGGGGCGUGUCAGCCCUUGCAGCCAGACAGCCAACACGGCCUAUCGUGUUGCCUGACACAGCUAGUGUUGGCUUGGACACCUCAUUUUCCAGUGUUUGCUGUAUUUUGGCACGGUUGAUCCCAGAGGGCAUUUUGGACUUUUGCUACAUCAAAUUAGUGAUAAAGAAUUAUUUAGGGGACUUUUGAAUACGGAGAAAAUGACAUUUUUCACGAUUACAGAUUUAGUAUGAUUAAGAUUGAAGUGAUCAAAGGCGGCGAAGAACGGAGGUCCUUCAAGAGCGGAUGCGAUUGAAGAUCAACGGAAUUCCCUUACUUUUGUAAUGUCUAAAUUUUAUUUUGUAUCUUAUUUGAAUAAUAUGAGAGGCUAAACCCCC